GCCCGUGUAGCUCAGUAGGCAGAGCAUCCCGCUGGUAAUGGGAAGGUCGUCGGUUCGACUCCGACCGCGGGCU
rnacentral:tRNA from 1 species